rnacentral:rRNA from 1 species
CAACGCCGGAAAUCUCACCGGGGCGACAGCAAUAUGAAGGUCAGGCUGAAGACCUUACCCGAUUAGCUGAGAGGUGGUGCAUGGCCGUCGUCAGUUCGUACUGUGAAGCAUCCUGUUAAGCCAGGCAACGAGCGAGACCCACGUCCACAGUUGCCAGCAUACCCUCCGGGGUGAUGGGUACACUGUGGAGACCGCCGCUGCUAAAGCGGAGGAAGGAGUGGGCAACGGUAGGUCAGUAUGCCCCGAAUCUCCCGGGCUACACGCGGGCUACAAUGGUUGGUACAAUGGGCAUCUACCCCGAAAGGGGAAGGAAAUCUCUUAAAGCCAAUCGUAGUUCGGAUUGAGGGCUGCAACUCGCCCUCAUGAAGCUGGAAUCCGUAGUAAUCGCGUUUCAACAGAACGCGGUGAAUACGUCCCUGCUCCUU